UCCUACGGGUGGCUGCAGUGGGGAAUAUUGCGCAAUGGGCGAAAGCCUGACGCAGCGACGCCGCGUGAGGGACGACGGCCUUCGGGUUGUAAACCUCUUUCAGCAGGGACGAAGCGAAAGUGACGGUACCUGCAGAAGAAGCACCGGCUAACUACGUGCCAGCAGCCGCGGUAAUACGUAGGGUGCAAGCGUUGUCCGGAUUUAUUGGGCGUAAAGAGCUCGUAGGUGGCCUGCCGCGUCGGAUGUGAAAACCCGGGGCUCAACCCCGGGCCUGCAUUCGAUACGGGCAGGCUAGAGGAUGGCAGGGGAAACUGGAAUUCCUGGUGUAGCGGUGAAAUGCGCAGAUAUCAGGAGGAACACCGGUGGCGAAGGCGGGUUUCUGGGCCAUUCCUGACACUGAGGAGCGAAAGCGUGGGGAGCAAACAGGAUUAGAUACCCCUGUAGUCAA
rnacentral:rRNA from 1 species